GAGGGUAUAGCUCAGUGACUGAGUGUGUGCUUAGCCUGCAUGAGGUCCUGGGUUCAAUUCCCAGUACCUCCA
rnacentral:tRNA from 1 species